GUUGUAUGGUUAAGUGACUAAGCGUACACGGUGGAUGCCUUGGCAGUCAGAGGCGAUGAAGGACGUAUUAACUUGCGAUAAGCCCAGAUUAGGCAGUAAAAGCCACUUGAGUCUGGGAUUUCCGAAUGGGGAAACCCAACUGCAUAAGCAGUUAUUGUUGCGUGAAUACAUAGCGUAACAAGGCGAACCGGGGGAACUGAAACAUCUAAGUACCCCGAGGAAAAGAAAUCAACCGAGAUUCCGAAAGUAGCGGCGAGCGAAAUUGGACUAGCCCUUAAGCUUUAUAUGCGUUAGACGAACAGCCUGGAAAGGCCGGCGAUACAGGGUGAUAGCCCCGUAGUCGACAACGCACAUUCAGUGAAAUCGAGUAGGGCGGGACACGUGAUAUCCUGUCUGAAUAUGGGGGGACCAUCCUCCAAGGCUAAAUACUACUGACUGACCGAUAGUGAACCAGUACCGUGAGGGAAAGGCGAAAAGAACCCCUGUGAGGGGAGUGAAAUAGAACCUGAAACCGUGUACGUACAAGCAGUAGGAGCACCUUCGUGGUGUGACUGCGUACCUUUUGUAUAAUGGGUCAGCGACUUAUAUUCAGUGGCAAGGUUAACCAUCUAGGGGAGCCGUAGGGAAACCGAGUCUUAACUGGGCGCUCAGUCUCUGGAUAUAGACCCGAAACCAGGUGAUCUAGCCAUGGGCAGGUUGAAGAUUGAGUAACAUCAAUUGGAGGACCGAACCGACUAAUGUUGAAAAAUUAGCGGAUGACUUGUGGCUAGGGGUGAAAGGCCAAUCAAACCUGGAGAUAGCUGGUUCUCCCCGAAAGCUAUUUAGGUAGCGCCUCGGACGAAUACUACUGGGGGUAGAGCACUGUUAAGGCUAGGGGGUCAUCCCGACUUACCAACCCUUUGCAAACUCCGAAUACCAGUAAGUACUAUCCGGGAGACACACGGCGGGUGCUAACGUCCGUCGUGGAGAGGGAAACAACCCAGACCGCCAGCUAAGGUCCCAAAUUAUUACUAAGUGGGAAACGAUGUGGGAAGGCUUAGACAGCUAGGAUGUUGGCUUAGAAGCAGCCAUCAUUUAAAGAAAGCGUAAUAGCUCACUAGUCGAGUCGGCCUGCGCGGAAGAUGUAACGGGGCUAAGUAAUAAACCGAAGCUGCGGCAAUGCAGUUUACUGCAUUGGGUAGGGGAGCGUUCUGUAAGCCGUUGAAGGUGAGUUGUAAAGCUUGCUGGAGGUAUCAGAAGUGCGAAUGCUGACAUGAGUAACGAUAAAGGGGGUGAAAAACCCCCUCGCCGGAAGACCAAGGGUUCCUGUCCAACGUUAAUCGGGGCAGGGUAAGUCGACCCCUAAGGCGAGGCUGAAAAGCGUAGUCGAUGGGAAACGGGUUAAUAUUCCCGUACUUCUUACAAUUGCGAUGGGGGGACGGAGAAGGCUAGGUGGGCCUGGCGACGGUUGUCCAGGUUCAAGUGCGUAGGCUUGAGAGUUAGGUAAAUCCGGCUCUCUAUAAGGCUGAGACACGAUGUCGAGCAUCUACGGAUGUGAAGUCAUUGAUG
rnacentral:rRNA from 1 species